UGAGUAACCUGCCCUUAACUCUGGGAUAAGCCUGGGAAACUGGGUCUAAUACCGGAUAUGACUCCUCAUCGCAUGGUGGGGGGUGGAAAGCUUUUUGUGGUUUUGGAUGGACUCGCGGCCUAUCAGCUUGUUGGUGAGGUAAUGGCUCACCAAGGCAACGACGGGUAGCUGGUCUGAGAGGAUGGCCAGCCACAUUGGGACUGCGACACGGCCCAGACCUCCUACGGGAGGNAG
rnacentral:rRNA from 1 species